GACGAACGCUGGCGGCGUGCUUAACACAUGCAAGUCGAACGGAAAGGCCCUGCUUUUGUGGGGUGCUCGAGUGGCGAACGGGUGAGUAACAUGUGAGUAACCUGCCCUUGACUUUGGGAUAACUUCAGGAAACUGGGGCUAAUACCGGAUAGGAGCUCCUGCUGCAUGGUGGGGGUUGGAAAGUUUCGGCGGUUGGGGAUGGACUCGCGGCUUAUCAGCUUGUUGGUGGGGUAGUGGCUUACCAAGGCUUUGACGGGUAGCCGGCCUGAGAGGGUGACCGGCCACAUUGGGACUGAGAUACGGCCCAGACUCCUACGGGAGGCAUCAGUGGGGAAUAUUGCACAAUGGGCGGAAGCCUGAUGCAGCAACUCCGCGUGCGGGAUGACGGCCUUCGGGUUGUAAACCGCUUUCGCCUGUGACGAAGCGUGAGUGACGGUAAUGGGUAAAGAAGCACCGGCUAACUACGUG
rnacentral:rRNA from 1 species